AAUUAAACACCUCGCCAUAUAUCUCCUUCUUCUCCAAUGAACCCUAAUAGAAUUGUGAGGCUAUCAAUCCUUUUGAAGCAGCCCGUAUUCCUCUACCUCUGCACUCUCUAUCCCUUUCCAUUUGGAAGCCCUAACCGCGACCACCAGCAUCGAACCCCAUCAUCUUUAAGAGUUUGGAGUGCAUCUGAUGAAAUCGACAGUUGGAUCGACUCCGUAAUCGGCGAUGACUACCGCUGCUUCUUUCGAUCGUACUCCGACCGCCACCACUUUCUCUUUCUGGUUGUUGGCAUCCAUAAAGGCAACAACAUGCUUGUCAUUGCCGGAUUUAUUCUUUGCUCUACCCGGUUUCCCCUCGCAUCACACACUUUCUUUCUCCUGACCUUACUUGUUAAUCGUUUCAUCAGAUCUUUGCUCUAGUGUCACUCUAAGAUCAAGAAAUUUCAAGCCCUAGCCUCCUUCUGAGACAGAGAUGAAAAGAGAAGAAACAUGAAGAUGCUCGCACGCCUUUUUCCAGUCAUCCUUCUACCUAGGCGUUGUUUCUUUCAUCGGUCCUUCCGAUUGGUCUUCUUCUUUAUCACCAUCUACUAAAAGACUCAUUGAUUUUGGCGAUUAUGGCUUCGAAUUCAGUUCCAUCCAAUUCUCCAAUAGAUUUCUCGUAUGUUCUCCAUAAAUCCCCCUUUACCACCAUUACAUCUGCAGCCACACGACAACCACUCAUCGCUAUUUGUAAGUCCAUCACCACCUUCUGAAGCAGGUUGAAAUAGGAACCGACAAUGUGAAUGCUGAAGUUAGAGUGAUUCCUGAUGUCCAGGUGAGAUUAUUUCCAUUUACCUAUAUAAAUCUCGAUUGUGUUGUCUUUUCUCCUCUCUCAUCCCAACAUCGCCAUAUCAAUAUUGAAUUGAAAUCUUCUACAAUUUCUUUUAGGGCUUUCUCUGUCUUGUAUCUCUCUUAAUCCUCUGGAACAAAGCUAUGAAAAUUCGGCAUCUCCAAGUUUCACUCAUUAAUUUCAUACAAAACUUGGAAGCUUUUGAAGAUUUAGUCGAGUUUCUUGUUAAUCCUUCACCCUCUAUAGAUAGCCAACGUUGUAAUUUUAGUCAUAUUUUUGCCUGCCUCUUCUUAAAAUCUUGAUAAAGUGAGUUAAAUGGAGAAAAGAAUUGUUAGGGUUUUAGACGAAUCUUUACAAGGCACCCUGAGAUUUUCUAUCUUUCAUUGAAUUGUAAGACCAUUUAUGUGGCUCUUAAGGGUAUAAAAGAGGAAAUUUGGUGUAUGCAUGUCCGAUUGCAAAACACAAAGGGAAGUUUCAUUGUAUUAUAACUAUAAGGACUUGAUUAAUUACAGGAAGAAAGGGUUGGAUAUGUUAUCUGAGUUGGAUAAACCUGUAGUAGAUGAUACGAUUGGGAUUAAUGAAAAGGAUUUAGAUGAUGAAGAUAUUGAAUCAAGUGGUGAAUAUUACCAAAAUAGUGUAUCUAUGUUGUUAUGGAGCUUAACAGGCAAACCUUUACACACACCUACAUUCAUUUAUUUAUAUUUCCAUCAAUCAAUCAAUCAAUUCAUCCUUAUGUGCAUAUGGUUACUUACGUAUACUAUUGAUAUAUGUUAAAAAUAUUACAUAGAAUUAAAAUUUGUCUAUGACUUUACGUACAACAGAGCACUUCAGUGAAUAUCAUAGUAUGAUCUUGUUUCUGUGUUAAAGAACCAGACAAAGCAUGGAUUGAUGGUCAGGUUACAAAAUUGUUGGUCAAGAAGCAUAAAUGGAGACUCCUGACCUAAAUGGUGGAUCUAUUCUUGGGGUGAGGUUUCUUGAUCCCCUUGCUGGUCUUGUUGUCUCAGGCAUGAUACUAAGGGUUGGACUUGAAACUGGUUACCAGAGUAUUAUGGAGAUCGUGGAUGCUGCAAUACCAUCUCAUCAUUUGGACCCAAUCAGAAAGACAUUGUUACAAGUCAAAAGAGUGGAGGCAAGUUGACUAACUAGAUAAUCUAACAUGUUUGUUGUGGUAUACUUUGGUUUGACAUUGAUACAAAAUUCUACACUUUUACGGG